ensembl:ncRNA Y41E3.458 ncRNA
GGGCGGAGCCGAUUCGCAACCGCCGCACACUUAUUUCGCAAGCCUCGCACGCUUUUUCUCUUGAAAAGAAAACGCGCGAGGCUUGCGAAGUAAGCGUGCGGCGGUUGCGAAUUCCUCCAAAUUUCCGGCAAAA